UGAGUGAAAAACGAUUUCAAGUCAUUUUUCCGUUUAGAAACGACUAUGCGACCUAUUGAUAAGUCGUUCUGAAAACUAUCUUGUUAUUUUCGUCGGGUGCGUUACGACGUGUUACCAAAAGUUAUGUUGCUUUCGUCAAGUUUGUUACGACGUAUUGACAACCGAUGUGUUCCUUACGUCAGGAUGCAUACGUCAGCAUAAGCAUAAAACAACAGAUAGGACAGGUGGAAUAAUGAUGACAAAGAUCACGAAUACGGAUGUUUCACGAAGUUCUGUGUCACAAAACUUCUGCGCAUCUUGACCUUCACAAAACUAUGUUGCGGAUUUCAUCGAAUGGAAGCCCUCAGAAAAAG